UACGUAGGGUCCGAGCGUUGUCCGGAAUUAUUGGGCGUAAAGGGCUCGUAGGCGGUUUGUCGCGUCGGGAGUGAAACAGCACGGGCGUUAACCCCGUGCCUGCUUCCGAUACGGGCAGACUAGAGGUAUGCAGGGGAGAACGGAAUUCCUGGUGUAGCGGUGAAAUGCGCAGAUAUCGCUUGGAACGCCGAAGGUGAAAACAGGUCGCUGGGGACGCGACCGACGCGUGAGACACG
rnacentral:rRNA from 1 species